rnacentral:pre_miRNA from 1 species
AAUGGCCGCGAGCUAGACGGGGUAUUGACGCGGUUCAAUUCGAGAGCUCGAGCCCUAGCAGAGGCCAGGGGGGGUGGGGCUCUGCUCUCUGAUUGAGCCGUGCCAAUAUCACGUCCCACUCGCCCUCGC